CCUACGGGAGGCAGCAGUGGGGAAUAUUGGUCAAUGGAGGCAACUCUGACCCAGCAACGCCGCGUGAAUGAUGAAUGUCUUCGGAUUUUAAAGUUCUUUUUUGAGGGAUGUACACAAUGACGGUACCCCAAUAGCAAGCCACCGCUAACUACGUGCCAGCAGCCGCGGUAAUACGUAGGUGGCAAGCGUUAUCCGGAAUGACGGGUCGUAAAGGUUUCGUAGGUGGUUUAGUAAGUUAGCGGUGUAAUUCCGGGGCUCAACCUCGACUAUACAUCCAAAACUAUUAGACUAGAGUGCAGGAGGGGUAAGUGGAAUUCAUGGUGUAGCGGUGGAAUGCGUAGAUAUCAGGAGGAACAUCAGGGGCGAAGGCGACUUACUAAACUGUAACUGACACUGAGGCACGAAAGCGUGGGGAGCAAACAGGAUUAGAUACCCGGGUAGUC
rnacentral:rRNA from 1 species